CAAGCACUUUUGAACUAAGGGUUAACCCCAUUUCAAUCGGACCUUCAAAUGUUGGCUUAAAAUGUGAAGUGGCUUUUAAAUGGAAAUCCUCUAAAACAUUAGGCCUUGUUUUAUAAUUUUCCAUCAUAAUUCUAGUAUGUUGUGGCACUAAUGUAGCUUUAAACUGCCUAUUAUUAACAUCAGCCACAAUAGUCUUUUCGAUUGGGCUUGAAACGCCAAGGUCCACUAAAUGUUUAUCACCAUCUGGUCCAGAAAGGGAGGGGACCAUUACGUUUGCAUCAUUUGUCUGUUUCCAAGCUGCGCCUUUACCAGUUGUUGCCCCCAAGCUACCAAUUAGGCCCAAAACAGCUCCAGCCUCAUAAGACAAUGCAACUACUAUAGGCAUAACCCCCAAAAACUCAGCCUGCUUUUUAAACCCACUCAUGCUGCCACAACCCAGCUCGUCUACACUCUCUUUAACCUUUUUCGACCCAACAGACCUUCUCUUUUCAAAUUAGCAUGUUCCCGUUCAAAACCUUUUAAGGAAAUUUCCUUUCCUGAAUUUAACCCCCGAAAAAUCAGCUCCCAAAACAUUCCCUUCCCCUUUUUCAUUAACCCCAAAAAUAAUGCCCUAAAUCUAAACCACCUUCAUCACUAAUCGGAUUUUUAGCCGCCGUUUUACAAUUUUCAUUCAGAUUCCGAGGAGGACGCCUUUCAAUAACCAUCCAAGGGCCAAACUCAGUUGUGUUUUCUGCCGUAACACCUAAUGCUGAUUCAACCACUUUUGACCCCUCAUUAACUCCGGUAAAAUCUUUAUCGUCAGACGAGAACGAGUAAAGCUCCUUAACAUGGCCGUACCUUCUAUAAGAGAAGCAAAUAGACUAAAACCGGGAAGUCCUGGCAGUCGGAUCCAUGCCAUAGCAACCGACGGGAAGAGUUGGAAUGGAUUAAAAUCCAAUGUCCACAUUUGAACCAUAAGAUAUUGGCCGAAGAGAAUCCAAGGUCCUUGGGUGAGCACUCUCUCAUAAUCUUCUUUCCUCUGAAAUUUUAUACGAAAAAAUACCCAUUCUCCACAGCCAUAAGUUGAAAUGGUUUUGAGGGUCGCCAUAGACUCGAGACCCUAUUUUGCAGAGUAGCAUAACCAGUGCUUCGACCCCAAAACUUCACCAGUAUCGUGGUUUUCAUAUCCUUUUAACAGGUAUUGCUGAACCCGAUCUGAGAAAGCAACCGCGGGAAACUUAGUGAAAUGUUCCACCAUCUUCCCCUGGUUCCUUCGCAGGCUCAACGGAUUUACGCAAUAGCAUAUCUUUCCAUGACACAGUAGAGGCCGGUCUAUUGACAUUUCUACGCUAUCCACUCCUUUGUCUUUGAAACGGACUUUUCUAGUGUUGCGGCUAUCUGUCGAACACUCAUUGUUGUCCUCAAUAUUACUGGAAGUUGACAUCAGAGAACUUUUUUAAAAACACGUAUAUUUUAGUUAUUGUAGUAACUUUUAAUUAUUAAUUUAAUUUUUAUAAUUUAUUGGCA